AAACUAACAAGGAUUCCCCUAGUAACGGCGAGUGAAGCGGGAAGAGCUCAAAUUUGAAAUCUGGUAGCCUUCGGUUGCCCGAGUUGUAAUCUAGAGAAAUGUUUUCCGUGCCGGCCCAUGUACAAGUCCCUUGGAACAGGGCGUCAUAGAGGGUGAGAAUCCCGUCCUUGACAUGGACCCCCGGUGCUUUGUGAUACAUUUUCAACGAGUCGAGUUGUUUGGGAAUGCAGCUCAAAAUGGGUGGUGAAUUCCAUCUAAAGCUAAAUAUUGGCGAGAGACCGAUAGCGAACAAGUACCGUGAGGGAAAGAUGAAAAGCACUUUGGAAAGAGAGUUAAACAGUACGUGAAAUUGUUGAAAGGGAAACGAUUGAAGUCAGUCAUGCUCUUUGGUAUUUAUAUCAUUGAGUGGGGUCAACAUCAGUUUUGAUCGAUGGAUAAAGGCACUAGGAAGGUAGCACUCUCGGGUGAACUUAUAGCCUAGCGUCAUAUACAUUGAUUGGGACUGAGGAACGCAGCAUGCCUUUAUGGCCGGGAUUCGUCCACGUACAUGCUUAGGAUGUUGACA
rnacentral:rRNA from 1 species